GAACAGCCAUGUGAUGCUGAGUCCGCUGACACUGAACUCUCCAGACAGAUUCCAUCAUCCUCCAUCAUGCAGGCAGAACAGCCAUGUGAUGCUGAGUCUGCUGACACUGAACUCUCCAGACAGAGUCCAUCAUCCUCCAUCAUGCAGCUGUCUUUCUCUUUCUCUCCACCUGUCUGUCUCUCUC